rnacentral:rRNA from 1 species
GAUAAACGCUGGCGGCGUGCAUAACACAUGCAAGUCGAACGAUGAAACUUAACUGAUUUCUUCGGAAUGAUUUUAAGUGGAUUAGUGGCGGACGGGUGAGUAACGCGUGAGUAACCUGCCUUGCACAAGGGGAUAGCCGUUGGAAACGACGAAUAAUACCCUAUGAUAUAAACUCUUCGCAUGAAGGGCUUAUCAAAGAUUUAUCGGUGUAAGAUGGACUCGCGUCUGAUUAGCUAGUUGGUGGGAUAAAAGCCUACCAAGGCAACGAUCAGUAGCCGGCUUGAGAGAGUGUACGGCCACAUUGGGACUGAGACACGGCCCAGACUCCUACGGGAGGCGGCAGUGGGGAAUUUUGCACAAUGGGGGCAACCCUGAUGCAGCGACGCCGCGUGAUUUAGAAGGCCUUCGGGUUGUAAAAAUCUUUUGUAUGGGAAGAAAAUGACAGUACCAUACGAAUAAGGACCGGCUAAUUACGUGCCAGCAGCCGCGGUAAUACGUAAGGUCCGAGCGUUGUCCGGAAUCAUUGGGCGUAAAGGGUACGUAGGCGGAUAAGCAAGUUAGAAGUGAAAUCCUAUAGCUCAACUAUAGUAAGCUUUUAAAACUGCUCAUCUUGAGGUAUGGAAGGGAAAGUGGAAUUCCUAGUGUAGCGGUGAAAUGCGCAGAUAUUAGGAGGAAUACCGGUGGCGAAGGCGACUUUCUGGCCAUAAACUGACGCUGAGGUACGAAAGCGUGGGUAGCAAACAGGAUUAGAUACCCUGGUAGUCCACGCCGUAAACGAUGAGUGUUAGGUGUCUGCUCAUAAGAGUAGGUGCCGUACGUUAACACAUUAAGCACUCCGCCUGGGGAGUACGUACGCAAGUAUGAAACUCAAAGGAAUUGACGGGGACCCGCACAAGCAGCGGAGCAUGUGGUUUAAUUCGAGGCUACGCGAAGAACCUUACCAGGACUUGACAUACCAAGGAAAGUUUUUAGAGAUAAAAACCCUAGAUUUAUCUACCUUGGAUACAGGUGGUGCAUGGUUGUCGUCAGCUCGUGUCGUGAGAUGUUGGGUUAAGUCCCGCAACGAGCGCAACCCUUACAUUUAGUUACUAACAGGUUAAGCUGAGGACUCUAGAUGGACUGCCGAUGACAAAUCGGAGGAAGGUGGGGAUGACGUCAAAUCAUCAUGCCCUUUAUGUCCUGGGCUACACACGUGCUACAAUGGUCGGUACAAAGAGAAGCUAAAUAGCGAUAUCAAGCAAACCUCAAAAAACCGAUCCCAGUUCGGAUUGAUCUCUGCAACUCGAGAUCAUGAAGCCGGAGUUGCUAGUAAUCGCAGAUCAGAAUGCUGCGGUGAAUGCGUUCCCGGGUCU